rnacentral:lncRNA from 1 species
GUGUCAUUUUGACACUUUUUGCUGACAUGUCAAAAUGAGUGUCAUACACUGAACAAUAGCACGUGAAAGACUUUAUUUAGCCAUUUUUUAUUUUAUUUUCUCUUUUUCUUCUCCAUUUUUUCAAGGCAUCAACCUCUUUCAAGCUUAAAUUCCUUCAAUGGAGGUAAUUUUUUUAAUUCAAAUUCGUUUUUAAGUUAUUUUCUUCUUCUUCAUUGUAUUACUUAUCUAAAUCUACCAUCACCUCCCUUCAUUUUUUGUGGGAAAAAUGGAUACCAACACCCAUAUUUCUUAUUGAUUCUCUCCUUCUUUCUUCCUCUCCCUCUUUUCUUUCCAAAAAACAAUAUUAAAAAGAAAGAAGAUGAAUAAAUAUGAAAAUAGUAAAAGAAAAGAUUUUUUUUUUUUGAAAAAGCACAAAAGAGAUUUGGAUGUAAUGAAAUAAGACAUUUUCUUAGAAUAAUAUUUUAAAUUUAUUUACUAAAUAGAUAUUAUAAUUAUUUUUACUGAAAAUAACACAUGUAAUUAUUUAAUUGAUUGUUUGUCACGUAAUCAACGAGUGUAUUACACUCUCCUUUAGUUUUUUGUUUAUUGUCAGAAAAGUGUCAAAAAAUGACACAAUAGAACCCUAUAUGAGGUGUAUAAAAUGAACAUCGCUUAAUUGAUGUGUCUAAGUGAAAAUUAUUGCCAAAUUUAAGAGAUCACCGAUGGAUUUACUUUUUUAUCCUUAUCAAAUCACUUCUAAAAGAAAUCAAAUAAUAAUACAUAUAAGAAAAAACAUUAUGAAUUUUCUUGCUUUGGGUUUCUUUUAUCUUUUUGAUUACUUUUAGUUUGUUUGCUUUAAUUCUUCUUAAUUGUUAAUGGAAAAACUAAGUUUCUUUCUCAUUCCCUGGUCAAAAGAAAAAAUACGGAAUACAUUCAUUACACUUCAACUCCUACCAACCUUGAAGCCUCUAUCGACAUUCACAUCCAGUGCCCCCCCCCCCCCCCUCUCCAGGUUAUUUUAAGCUAAAUAUAGAUGGUUCCUUCAUGAUGAAACAAAGAGAUAGCGGUAUUGGUGGAGUCGUCCGAGACGAUCACGAAAAAUUGGAAGGCUGGUUUCUAAAAAAAAGCUAGCAGUCAUACUUAUAUUAUUGCCGAACUUGAAGCCCUCCUUGAAGGUUUAAAGUUGGCAGAUAUGCUAAAUCUCCAACCCUUGGAAGUCUAAACAGACUCCACUGAUCUACUCGAUUACUUAAGAGGAACCGAACGUUUUGUAUUCUUCAAUUGUCAUUCUCGCAGGUUAAUGUUGAAGAGGUUGGGGAAUCUAGUAGUGCGUCAUAACUUCCGACAGGAACAAAGUAGCGGAUUUUUUGUGCAAGAUAGGUACUCAGCUAACCCCCUCAAUCAUAUAUAUUACAUACUUCGCCGGAAGCUGCAACAGAGUUUUUACCGAUCUACAAGGAAUUCUAGCUACUAAGCAAAUAUUUAAGUGAUUGUGUAAUAAGUUAGCUCAUUACAGAAACUUAUCUGUAAUCAUUAGUUAUAAUAGUGAUUGUGUACUGCUUUAAUUAUAUAUAAUAUAUUCUUUCUACCAAAAAAAUGUCAGUCACUACUAAUUUAAUUAAUUUC